rnacentral:rRNA from 1 species
CCUCCUUUAGAGUUUGAUCCUGGCUCAGAUUGAACGCUGGCGGCAGGCCUAACACAUGCAAGUCGAGCGGUAACAUUUCUAGCUUGCUAGAAGAUGACGAGCGGCGGACGGGUGAGUAAUGCUUGGGAAUAUGCCUUAGGGUGGGGGACAACAGUUGGAAACGACUGCUAAUACCGCAUAACGUCUACGGACCAAAGGGGGCUUCGGCUCUCGCCCUUAGAUUAGCCCAAGUGGGAUUAGCUAGUUGGUGAGGUAAUGGCUCACCAAGGCGACGAUCCCUAGCUGGUUUGAGAGGAUGAUCAGCCACACUGGAACUGAGACACGGUCCAGACUCCUACGGGAGGCAGCAGUGGGGAAUAUUGCACAAUGGGCGCAAGCCUGAUGCAGCCAUGCCGCGUGUGUGAAGAAGGCCUUAGGGUUGUAAAGCACUUUCAGUAAGGAGGAAAGGUUAGUAGUUAAUACCCUGCUAAGCUGUGACGUACU